GCGGCGGUAGUUCAGCUGGUUAGAAUAUCGGCCUGUCACGCCGGAGGUCGCGGGUUCCGAGUCCCGUCCGCCGCGCCA
rnacentral:tRNA from 1 species